AAUAUUGAGAAUUAUCUAUCUCCAGCUCUCUCUCUCUUUUAUCUUCAAGAUUAAAAUAGGAGUUAUUAGGGUUCUUCAAGAAACCCUCAUAUCUGCAAAACAAGGCAAGUGAAAACACUUGGAUUUUGCUUAAUUCUCGCAUGGAUGAUUAGAAAAAACAUGUUUUUCAUGCUCAAGUAUAAAUACAAAAUCAAAAAAUUUCAAGAAGCUAAUGAUCACUUCCUUAGUUAUAAAGAGACCUUUUUCUUGUUCUUUGGUUUAAGUGUGAAGGGAACCUAAAGUUCUAGAAGAAUUCAAGUUAUAAGGAGAAGUUGCAGAAAUUGAGGUAAGGUGACUGCCCAUUUUUUUGUCUUCCUUAUGUAUGAGUUUGAGUGAGGAAUUAGGGGUGUGCUGUAAUAAAGAACUCAAGAGGGUUGUGAAUUCAAUAAUUGGUUGUAUGAUAAAGAAUAUUUGGGGCUGUUCUAUGUGUAUUAUUUUUGGUAUAGCUUGGUUGAUUUUGAGGAAAGGAUAUAUAAUGUAUGUGUUGGACAUAGAAUGAGGGUGUGGUGAUACACAUUAUGUUAAAGGGAUGGAUGGGUUCAUUAUCUGUCAAAGUUAGCUACUGUUUUACGAGGCUCACGGUGUGAUAGCUGCUAAUUAUAGUUUACCAUGACUUAAAUUGUAGAUUAAAACUGAAAAGGGGAGGCUGAAUAGUGAUAGUUAUACCUGUCAGAGGAUAAGUUAUGCAAGGCUAUUCGAUUCUAUAUCCCUUUGGCAUGAAAUUUGAUUCUUGCAAUUAAUACUAAUGAGGUGAUUCUCAUAAGUUCUAUUCCUAGAAAAGGAAUCAUAGUGGCAGCGUACUAUCUCCAAAUAGCUAACAAUAUUUCCCCCUCUCCGAAGUGCAUAGAACUACUUCAUUAUAUGUUCACUAUUUUAUAUUUGUGAAAUUAUUCCCGCAUGUGCUAGUUUAGAAAUGGUAUUUGCAAAAGCAAGUCUGGUGAAUCCUCCUCUUUGUUGUUUGAAGUCAAUUCUGUCAUUAAACUCUUAAAGUAAUGUGUUGAUGUUACAUAGCUCCUUAUGCCAUUGUUAUCACCUUGAAGUAUUAUUUUCAUGUCUUCUAUUAUUGGUCCGUACUUCCAUAUCUCCAAAAUGGUUAUGACCACCAAAAUAAUAUCUCAAAAGAGUUACGAUUAUCCAAAGAACAAUGACAAAAGAGUUAUGAAAUGAUAAACAACAAUGUCAAAGAAUAAAUAAUCUAAGUGAAGAAAUCUAUAUAAUUACGGGUGGAAGCCUAGGAGCGAAAGCUUAGCAUGGGUCGAUCCUAACUGGUACAUAAGGGUGGCAGCUCAGGGGCGAAAGCCUAGCAUGGGCGCCCUAUUGUUAUAGAAGGGUUGCAGCUCAGGGACAAAAGCCUAGCAUGGGCCGAUCUCAAAUUGUGUAAUUAUGAGGACCAUAUCGUAGGGGUUAAUAUGCCUAGCUGGUCACUUGUAUCACAUGCCCUACAAAGAUAUUAUAACAUACAGACAAGUAAAGAAAACAAUGUAACUUACAUGAUCUCACAAGGGUAAGCAAAUGUGGUCUUCUCUCCUGAUGUAUGCACUCAUAUGUUGAUACUUGAUUUCAUUUGAGCCCUCAUAUUAUAUAUGCUAUAUUGCCUACAUAUUCAGUAUAUUUUUCGUACUGACACCCCUCGCUGGGUACGCUGCAUUUCAUGCUGCAGGCACAUGUACUCUAGCUAGUAGACCUCCUUAGUAGGAGGAUACGACAUUCAGAUACUUUUGAUGAGCUCCAGGUUGAUCUGGAGCUUUACUGAGUCCUGUGUAAAUUCAUUUUGGUAUUGUAUCAUAGUUAAGGGUAAGGCGGGGCCUACUCUAGGUCUUCUAUCUUUUUAGAGGCUUUGUAGACGUAUGUACAUGGUUCAGUUGUGUCUUAAGGAGUUGUGGCCUCAACGCCAAGUCUUGUAUAUAACUUUUUGGGUCUACUUAUGUUGGUUUUUAUCGCUGCAUCCUUUUUAAACUUGUCACGAUUGUUAUAGUUAUAUGCAUAGUAAGAACAUAUUUCAGGUUGGUUCUGUUGGGCCCUUAGGGCAUCGGGUGCUUGUCUGUCUUAAUGGGAUUUGAGGCAUGACAUCCGCUCAUUUUAUUCCCGUCAAGUCUACCUAUUGGGUGGAGGGUUAUGCAAAGGAUCUUCAUAGAUGAGAUUGUGUGUUGCCAUAGUAUUUCGUUAUCCAUCAUAUCGGAUUGGGGUGCACAAUUACAUCUAGGUUCUAGAGGUCAUUCCAAAAAGGAGUUGUUACCAAGGUGAAGUUAAGCACCGCUUUUCAUCCUCAAAUGGAUGGUCAAGUGAAGUGUACAAUUCAAACCCUUAAGGAUAUGAUUAGAGCUUGUAUUAUUGAAUUCAAUGGAAAUUGGUAUAGACACUUGCCAUUGGUUGAGUUUUCUUACAACAAUAGUUACCAUUCAUCUAUAUCUAUGGCUCCUUAUGAAGCCUUGUAUGGUAGGAGAUGUAUAUAUCCAAUUGGAAGGUUCGAAGUGCACGAUACUUCACUUUUGUAUCUAAAAGUUUCGCCUAUGAAAGGGGUGGUGAGAUUUAAGGUUGCAUACGAGUUGAGGUUACCAAGUGAAUUGACUUUGGUUCAUCUGGUGUUCCAUGUUUUUAUGCUUAAGAAGUGUAUCAGUGAUCCAGAGUCCAUUCUUCCUAUUGAAGUUCUAGGUGUUCAACAGACCUCUCUUAUGAAGAGGUUACGAUUCAAAUCUUUGAUAGAUAAUUGAAGAAGUUAAGAAAUAAAGAGGUGGCUUCCCUAAAGGUGUUAUGAAAGAAUCACCUAGUUGAGGGUGCAACAUAGGAGAUCGAGGCCGACAUGAAGUCCCGUUACCCUCAUAUAUUUGAUAACCAAGGUUCUGGUCGUUGAAGUCCUGUGACGAGUUUUGAAGGAAGGAUUGGAUUCUCAUUGUCAUGCCUCAAAACCCAUUAAGACGGACAGACACCCGAUGCCCUAAAUGCCCGAGAGAACCAACUUGCAACCUGUUCUUACUGUGCAUAUAACUAUAACAAUUGCGGCAAGUUAACCUAGGAUGCAGCGAUACAAAACAACAUAAGUAGGUCCAAAAGUUAUAUACAAGAAUUGGCCGUUGAGGCCACAACUCCUUAAGACACAACUGAACCAUGAAUAUAUGUCUACAAAGCCUCUAAAAGAUAAAAGACUAGAUUAGGUCGGCACAGACCCUGCCUUACCCUUAACUAUGAUACAAUACCAAAAUGAAUUUAUGCAAGACUGAAUAAAGCUCUGAAUCAACUUGGAGCUCACCCAAAAGUAGUAGAGUUUCGUGUUCUCCUACUGAGGAGGUCUACUAGCUGGAGUACCUGUUCCUGCAGCAUAAAAAGCAGCGUCCCCCGCGAGAGACGUCAGUACGAAAAAAUGUACUGAAUGUCUAAGGCAAUAACAUAUGUAAUACGAGAGCUCAAAUGAAAUCAAAGUAGCAACAUAUGAGUGCAUAAAUAAGGAGAGAAGACCACCUUUGCUUACUCUUGUAGGAUAAGGUAAGUUACAUUCUUUUCUUUACUUUUCUAUAUGUUAUAAUCUUUUUAGGGCAUGUGAUACAAGUGACCAACUAAUCAGUGGUAGAAGAGGAUGACCCAUUCUAGGCGUAUUAACCCCUGGGAUAGGGUCCUCAGAAUUACACAACUUGCGAUCGGCCCAUGCUAGGCUUUCGCCCCUGAGCUGCCACCCUUCUAUACCAAUAGGAAUCGACCCAUGCUAGGCUUUUGCUCCUGAUCUGCCACCCUUAUGUACCAGUUGGGAUCGACCCAUGCUAAGCUUUCGCCCCUGGGCUGCCAUUUGUAAUUAUAUAGAUUUUUUCACUUAGAUUCUUUAAUCUUUGAGAUUGUUGUUUAUCAGUUCAUAACUCUUUUGAGAUGUCAUAUUGGUGGUCAUAAUCAUUUUGGAGAUAUGGAAGUACAUACCAGUAAUAGAAGACAUGAAAAUAAUACUUCAAGGAAAUAACAAUGACAUAAGGAGCUAUGUAACAUCAAUACAUUACUUUAAGAGAUUAAUGACACAAUUGACUUCGAACAACAAAGAGGAGGAUUGAAAGACUUGCUUUUGCAAUUUCUAUUUUUAUACCAGCACAAGGGGGAUAAUUACACAAGUAUAAAAUAGUGAACAGGUAAAGAAGUAGUUCUAUGCACUAUGGAGAUGGGGAAAUAUUAUUAGCUAUUUGGAGAUAGUACGUUGCCACUAUGUUUCCUUUUCUAGGAAUAGAAUUUGUGAGAUUCACUUCAUUGAUAUUAAUUGCAGGUGUCAGAUUUCACGCCAAAGGGAUAUAGAAUCGAGUCGCCUUACAUACCUUAUCCUCGGACUGAUAUACUAUCACGAUUACGCCUCCCCUUUUUGGUUUUAAUCUACAAUUUAAGUCAUGAUAAACUAAAAUUAGCAGCUAUCACACCGUGAGCCUUGUAAAACAGUAGCUAACUUUGACUGAUAAUGAGCCCAUACAAACCCUUAACAUAAUGUGUAUCACCACACCCUCAUUCUCUGUCCAUCACAUACAUUAUACAUCCUUUUCCCAAGAUCGACCAAGCUACGCCACUAGUAAUAUACAUAGAACAGCCCCAAAUAUUCUUUAUCAUACAACCAAGUAUUGAACUCACCACCCCUUGAGUUCUUCAUGAAAGCACACCAUUCAUUCCUCACUCAAACUCUUACAUAAGGAAGACAAAUGGAGCAGUCACCUUACCUCAUUUCUGCAACUUCUCCUUAUAACUUGAACUUUUUUAGAACUUCAGCAUCCCUUCACACUUGAACCAAAGAAGAAAGAAAGAUAUUUUAAUAACUAAGGAAGUGAGCAGUAGCUGCUGGAAAUAUUCUGCCUAUGUAGUUAUAUUAGAGCAUGAAUAACAUGCUUUCCUAAUAAGCUAAAUCCAUGAGUUUUCACUUACCUUGGUUUGCAGAUAUAAGGUUUCUUCAAGAUACCUUGAAAACUUUAAGGCUGUUGGUUUAAUCCUUGAGAGAAAAUAGAGAGAGAGCUGGAGUUAAAUUUUAUUUUUAUGUGUUAAAAUGGGUGAAGAAUAUCUGCUCAUAUUGGAUAUAUAUAGAGGUUUAUUGACCACAAAAAUAUCCUCUAGAACCUCCUUUUUCUGGGUCCAUUUUUAGCCACUAAUUGGUCAAGUAGGUGAUGCACCUACUUGUGCACAUCAAGCAGCUCGAAAGGUCAAACUAGGUGAUGCACCUAGUUGCUUUCACUUGGGCUUUAUCCACAUUUGGCCUUGGAAGAUUUGGCUGCUGGGAUUUCUUUCAAAUUUUAUUUUCAUUUAAUAGGGUUGGGCUUCAAGUGACAUCCCAUUAAUAUAAGCCUAAAUCUGGUCCAUCAAACUUUGCCCUUUAACUAAAUUAUAGCUUAAGUAGGUGAUGCAGCUGCUAGCUUAAAUUUAGUCAAGCAAGCAGCUAAAUUAUUUUAUUUCAAUUUCUGAAUGUCAUUCUUCAACUUAGCACUUAACUUUUAACUUUAAGCUCAAUUACCACCUUACUAUAUAUA